UCGGGUUGAAAAGGAGCUGUGUAUGCAUCAAGUAUUUGAAGAAGCAGUUUGCUACAGAAAGCCCCAUGGGGUGGGUUCCAGGAUGAGCCUACCUCUCUAGCACACGCCUGGCAGAGGGAGAGCACAGGGGUGCUGCUGCUCCUUGUGCCUCCACUGGUGUCCCUGCCGCAGGACGAGCCGUGGUGGUGGCACCUCCACUGCCAGCACAGAGGCACGGGCAGCAGCUGAAUCCUCUGAGACUUCGACUGCCCAGACUUGGCAGCUUCAUGGGGCCACCGUCCCUUUCUGUGCUGCCACCUGAGGACCACGUUGCAGCGUGUUAUUUUGCAACAGGCAGGCCUCAGUGAGGGGAACAUCAUAUGAGAGCUGAAAGAAAUGGAUCAUUUUAUGGGCACCCCUUGCUGUGUUCCAGCUAGCAGUCAGGGAGGAGGCUCACCUACUUGAAAGCCAGGUGGGGCAGGAGUGGGACAGAAGAGAUGAAGCUCUGUGCGUGGCCGUGUUCUCAGACUACUCGGAGGAGGGUGCCUGUGGAUUCGGCACCAGUGGAUCUGACACAAUUUUCUCUGAGGAUCCUGCACAGUCCCCUGGAAGCAGUUUUCCCCACCCUGUGUCCGGCAGCACUGCCUCCUUCCCGCGUGCUGCGCCGUGAGCCGGGGUUUUCUGCCUCACCUCGCCUCGCCGCUGGUUUCUGUCCCGCUUUCGCAGCUCUGGAGGCCGCUGCUCACCUCCCCGUCAGCCCCUCCGACCUCAGGGCUGCCUGCCGAGUGCUGGCCAUUGCUGCUUCCUGACGCUGAUAUUCGUGGCAAUAUUUUCAUCACACACUGGCUGUUCCCACUCUUGUCAAAUGUUUGACUGUUGAAUCAGUCGGGUAUUUUUAUUCCAUCUCUCUGCCUGUAACCUGCUGGUAACAUUGCCAUUCGU